ACUUUGUGCUGUAUUAAGUAAUUUGGACUGUAUUCUGUAGGUAAAGCAGAGUUGCCAAUUGACAUGUUAGCAACAGUGCAGUGACAUGAUUGGACUUGUGCUUUCUGGUAGCAGGAUGGGUUGGAUGGAAGUGGGCAGGACUAAUGCAGGAAGUCAGUUUGACGUCAUUUUUGUGAUACAGGAAGCAGAUGCUGAGGACUUGGAUGAGGACGGGCACCAAAUCUGCGUUGUCGAUUGCUAUUUCCCAGGUUGAGUUGCUGAAGCGGCUUCAUUGUCUGGGGACAUACCCAAGGUUCGUCAUCGCGUGACGAGAAGAUUAAGGACACAGACGCAAACACGGAGCGGGUCAAGUAGCGGAAAGUUUAAUAGGCAGGAAAGAAGAGAACAGCUCACCGGUAGAGAGGGUCUUGCUCUGUCAUCCAGGCUGGAGUGCAGUGGCACAAUCAUGGCUCACUGCAGCCCCAACUUACUGGGCUCAAGUGAUCCUCCCACCUCAGCCUCCUGAGUAGCUGGGACCACAGCCGUCAAUGGUGUGCCAGAUAAGAAGCUAUGCACUGAAAAGAUGGAGAGGAGCGGCGAGAUUCUGCAUCUUAGCUUGCCUAGGUGGGGAGAUGGAGUCUUGUUCUGUUGCCCAGGCUGCAGUGCAGUGGCAUGACCUCUGCUCAGUGCAAACUCCACCUCCAGGUUUCAAGCAAUUCUCCUGCUUCAGCCUCCCGAGUAGCUGGGACUGCAGGCGUGCACCACCACACCCAGCGAGUUUUGUCUUUUCAGUAGAGAUGGGGUUUCACAUGUUGGCCAGGCUGGUCUCAAACUCCUGACCUCAAGCGAUCCUCCCUCCUUGGCCUCCCAAAGUGCUGGGAUUACACCCAGCCCCAGCAUAUUCUUUUAAUCAUAUUCAUUUGCUCAUGGUACAGGCACUUAAGUUUUUUAGAAUCCUUAAUGUCUCAUAAUGUUACCAUCUUGAAUUUUGUAAAAGUUUAAUAUCUAAAUAUGCUAAACAAAAUAUGCUGAAGAAGAAAUUAAGCUUAAUGUGUAAUGAAAGACAAAUGGAAAAGGUGGCUUAUGACGUACCUUAGAAAAUAUUCCCUAGAAAUGUGUAGAAAAGAGAAUGAUGAUGUCUACAGACAAAAUUUGUCAGAAGAAAUGAGUCAGUUAGGUCAGCCAGUCAGUAGAUUGGCUGAGAAUCAGUAGAUCUGUUAAAUGACUGUCGUGUGUGUGUGUGUGUGUGUGUGUGUGUGUGUGUGUGUCGGGGGUAGAUAGUAAAUUCUAAUAAAGAAUAUUUAGCCCAUUUGUUAUUAGACUAGUUCACCCAAUAAUGAAAAUUGUAAUCCUCCAAGUACAAAAACAAUGUUAUAAAAAACUAAAUGAGCAGCUCAUGGAGGUCACACAGAUGCCUAAGCUCAACAUGUCCAUAAUUUAACAACUUUCAUCCCUUAUUCUGCUGUUUCUUCAGCAAUCUUUUUCUUGGAUGUAUAGCUCUGCCAUCUGUGUUAGCCAACCCAGAGACUUUCUUUCUUCCCCCAUAUCCAAGUUAUAAAAAUCUUACCUGCUUUAACGCAUCUCUGAUCACUGUUCUCAAAUUCUCUGCUUCAGUCACACUGAGAUUUUUCUCUUUCCCCUGGGCCUUCCCUCUUUGGGACAUGUUCUCUCUAUCCCCAUGAAUUCUUGUUAGUAAGUUUAAAGUGAGCCUAAGCAUCUGUGUUGUUAGCAAAAUUUUCAGAUGAUUUUACACCCAGUCCAAGAAUCAUUUUAUUGAGACAUUUCCAGUUACUUACUUUGUGCAUCUAUACUUCUGUCUUCUCCUUUCCUCUUUCUUCAGUGAUUGAUCCAUCCCUGCUUGUUUAAGGUCAACGCCUCCAUCUGCAUCUGGAUGGCAUCCUAUCUCUCCCACUCAACACAUUGUUCCUGCAAUUGCUCCCUCUCUCUAAUGCAGCAUCAAUUCUUCUCUCUCUACUUGAUGAUUCCACCAGCAUACGGACAUGCUGCCAUGGCUUCCUAUUUUAAGCAAAAUAAACAAAAUACUCUCCAGAUGCCUCUCUUUAUGGACUCUUUAAAUCACUGCCUAUAUUUAUUGCCUUCCUUUUCUCAACUCACAUUCUCUUUAAACUCACACUGACCAAUCUUUCAGACCCUCCACUUCUUGAAAAUUACUCUUGUUAAUGUGGCCAAUGACGUGUAUUAACACGCAUACUGAUACUCAGUUCACAGUUGAAACAUUUUUUUCUUAUAAAUGUUUUCUUUACAUUUAUGGUCUCUAGAUGUUGAGGUGGCUCAGGGAUCAUCUAUUUAUUUAUUUUUAUUUAUUUUUCUUUUUUUUCUUUCACCUGUCAGCUCAUACCUAGCCGUCUUCUAUUUUUUGGGUUUGCUCACUUCCUUGAUGAUCUCGUAGAGCUCAAAGCCUCAAAUAAGAUCUAUAUGUGACACUGAUAUAUAUAUAUAUAUAUAUAUAUAUAUAUUUCCAGCUUUGACCUUUCCCCAACCUCAAGAAUUUUAUAUACAACUGCCUACCUGACAUUUCCACCUGGAUGUCUAAUACAAAUUUUCAGUUUAACAUGUCCAAAACCACACUCCUGUUUUUCUCUGCCCCCUUCUUAAUCCUGCUCCUCACCUAGUCUUCCCCACAUCAAUAAUGACAAGUACAUCCCUUCACAACUCUAGUUUCUCAAGCUACAGUUAACUCUUCUUUCUCUUUUAUACUGUACAUCUAAUCCCUCUCUAAUUUCCAAUAGGUUGGCUUUACCUUCAAAAUACAUCCAGAAUCCAACUGCUUCUCACCAUUGCUAUUGCUACCACUCUGGUUCAAAUGACCAUCAUCUCUUGCAUUCUUGUACCCUAUAGGUUAUGCUCCUUACAACAGAUAAAAUGCCCCUUUUAAAUCAUAAUUCAGAUUAUAUUACCUCUUAGUUCAAAACCCUUCAGUGGCUCCCAUCUCAUUUACAAUAAGGGUAAUGCUUUUCCAGUAGUUCCCAAUAUUUCAAGCUAACAGACCCUCUGAUCUCAUGUCCUACCAUUGUUUCCUUCACCAAGUCUGCUUUAGCUUCACUGGCCUUCUGGAUAUUUCUUCAACACACUAGACAUGUGUUAUGAACUGAAUGUUUGUGUCUCCCUAGAUUAAUAUGUUGAAGCCCCUUUCUCCAAUGUGAUGAUAUGUGAAGAUGAGGCCUUUGGGAGGUAAUUAGGGUUAGAUGAGACCAUAAGGGUGGGACUUUCAUAAUGGGAUUAGGGCCUUUGUAAGAGGAGACACCAGAAAGCUUGCUUUCUCUUUUUCUCCUGCUCAUGCAUGCACUAAGAAGGUUAUGUGAGCACAAUGAGAUGACAGCCACCUAUAAGCCAAGAGACCAGGCCUCAGAAUAAAACCUACCAUGCCAGCACCUUGAUCUUGGACUUCCAAGCUUUCAGAACUAUGAGAAAUAAAUUUCUGUUGUUUAAGCCACCCAGUUGAUGGUGCUCUGUGAUGGCAGCCUGAAGUAGUACAGAAUGAUCCCAUUUCAUAGCUUUUGCACUUGCCACUCUCCUACCUUGAAUACUCUUCUCUCAUAUACUUCUUUGCUCAUUUUCUCACCUCCUUCAGGCUUUCCUCAAUGUUGCUUUAGUAAAGUCUUCUCUGACCGCUCUGUUAAAAAUUGCAACCCCUGCCAGGUGCGGUGGCUCACGCCUGUAAUCCCAAUACUUUGGGAGGCUGAGACAGGUGGAUCACCUGAGGUCAGGAGUUCCAGACCAGCCUGACCAACAUGGUGAAACCCUGUCUUUACUAAAAAUACAAAGUUAGCCGGGCAUGGUGGCGCAUGCCUGUAAUCCCAGCUACACGGGAGGCUGAGGCAGGAUAAUCACUUGAACCCAGAGGGCAGAGGUUGCAGUGAGCCGAGAUUGCGCCAUUGCACUCCAGGCUGGGCAACAAGAGUGAAACUCUGUCUCAAAAAAAAAAAAAAAAUUGCAACCCCUUCCCCUACCCUGUCUGACUGCACUGUAUUUAGAGCUAUUUGGCACGUGCGCAUGCGCGCGCGCGCGCACACACACACACACACACACACACACACACACACACACACACACACAUCUGAUUUUUUUCUGUUUAUUCCCAGUUGAAUGUUAUGUCCAUGACAGCAGGGAUUUUUACCUAUUGUGUCUGCUGGUGUAGUCCCAGUAACUAAAUUGGUGAUGGCACAAAAAUGGAAAGACAGUUAUUUUUAAAGAGAUGUUAUUAUUUAUUUAUUUUUUCUUUUUUUUAAAGUUU